rfam:Dipodomys ordii contig_23445, whole genome shotgun sequence.
GGUGGCACAGUGGUAGAGCACUUGCCUUGCAUGCAUGAGGCCCUGGGUUCGAUUCCUCAGCACCA